rnacentral:lncRNA from 10 species
AUUGGCUUGGCUGGACCUGAAUGAUGCGGCUGUGAUUGCUGAAUUGUCUGGGCAGGUUUGGAGUCUCUGGCAAGCUCCCCUGACUGUGCAUCCCUCUGGAGACGAAGAGGAGGGGGAGGCCUGUCCUCUCUGGGAUCCAUUGGUCACAUCCCCCUGAGGAUUCCCGAAUGCCUACCUCCAGUGUCGUCAACAUGGAGUUCUGAAGUCCAUGUGGCUCUUCACAGUGAAUCAGGUGACACGUCUCCAAGAGAAUUUGCAUCUUUAUUACUACUUGAUUAAAUGUGAGAGCUGGAAGGAAGUUUUGGUUUGACCACUCCACCCCUCCCAUGUAACACAUGGGGAAUCUGAACCCACAGAGGGGUUACUGAUUUGUCUAGGGUCACAGCAAGUUAGCAGCAGCAUCAACCCAGAAUCCAUGUCUCCUGCCAGUCCGCUGCCCACUUCACUUCAUCCAGCACCUCUUGGCUGCACAGUUUACCGCGUUAUCCUCUCACAUGAGGACUUUCUCCACCUCUGAGUCUCAUCGUCCUCCUCUGUGAAAUGGGGUGAU